rnacentral:tRNA from 1 species
UUGGGAUAGCUCAGUGGAGAGAGGUCUGUUGGGU